GAAGUCUUUGAUUCCCCGCUGCCAAGAAAAGCUUCUAGCGAGAUAAAAGGUGCCUGUACCGCAAACCGACACAGGUAGGCGAGGAGAGAAUCCUAAGGUGUGCGAGAGAACUCUGGUUAAGGAACUCGGCAAAAUGACCCCGUAACUUCGGGAGAAGGGGUGCUUUCUUAACGGAAAGCCGCAGUGAAUAGGCCCAAGCGACUGUUUAGCAAAAACACAGGUCUCUGCGAAGCCGUAAGGCGAAGUAUAGGGGCUGACACCUGCCCGGUGCUGGAAGGUUAAGGAGAGGGGUUAGCGUAAGCGAAGCUCUGAACUGAAGCCCCAGUAAACGGCGGCCGUAACUAUAACGGUCCUAAGGUAGCGAAAUUCCUUGUCGGGUAAGUUCCGACCCGCACGAAAGGUGUAACGAUUUGGGCACUGUCUCAACCAGAGACUCGGUGAAAUUAUAGUACCUGUGAAGAUGCAGGUUACCCGCGACAGGACGGAAAGACCCCGUGGAGCUUUACUGUAGCCUGAUAUUGAAUUUUGGUACAGUUUGUACAGGAUAGGCGGGAGCCAUUGAAACCGGAGCGCUAGCUUCGGUGGAGGCGCUGGUGGGAUACCGCCCUGACUGUAUUGAAAUUCUAACCUACGGGUCUUAUCGACCCGGGAGACAGUGUCAGGUGGGCAGUUUGACUGGGGCGGUCGCCUCCUAAAGUGUAACGGAGGCGCCCAAAGGUUCCCUCAGAAUGGUUGGAAAUCAUUCGUAGAGUGCAAAGGCAUAAGGGAGCUUGACUGCGAGACCUACAAGUCGAGCAGGGACGAAAGUCGGGCUUAGUGAUCCGGUGGUUCCGCAUGGAAGGGCCAUCGCUCAACGGAUAAAAGCUACCCCGGGGAUAACAGGCUUAUCUCCCCCAAGAGUCCACAUCGACGGGGAGGUUUGGCACCUCGAUGUCGGCUCAUCGCAUCCUGGGGCUGUAGUCGGUCCCAAGGGUUGGGCUGUUCGCCCAUUAAAGCGGUACGCGAGCUGGGUUCAGAACGUCGUGAGACAGUUCGGUCCCUAUCCGUCGUGGGCGCAGGAAAUUUGAGAGGAGCUGUCCUUAGUACGAGAGGACCGGGAUGGACGCACCGCUGGUGUACCAGUUGUUCUGCCAAGGGCAUAGCUGGGUAGCUAUGUGCGGAAGGGAUAAGUGCUGAAAGCAUCUAAGCAUGAAGCCCCCCUCAAGAUGAGAUUUCCCAUAGCGUAAGCUAGUAAGAUCCCUGAAAGAUGAUCAGGUUGAUAGGUUCGAGGUGGAAGCAUGGUGACAUGUGGAGCUGACGAAUACUAAUAGAUCGAGGACUUAACC
rnacentral:rRNA from 1 species